ACAGGUCAGAACCCAUAAAGAAUGGAGCUCUUGAGUUUUGUGAAAUCUCCACUUUCCUGAUUUGAGCUGGAGAGGGAAGAAGGGCAGAAGCAGAGAAGAGGACAUAGAAAGGGCACUGUCUGCAAACUUCAGUCAAAGGAGGAAAAGGUGGGAAAGGAAAAGAAAGGCCACUGAGCAUCUCCUAGGUUAGAGCUGAUUUUCCAGGAGCACCCUGGGCUGGACACAAAAACUGGAGUGGGAGAAACGGCAGGCAAUGUUUCCGCUUGGAAGGAGCGCUUUCCGGCUUGCUGAGGAACUGUUGCUAUGGAAACAGGGCUCCUUCAGCAGAAAGGAAUGAAAAUGGAAUGGUGAAACUUGCUAUCAACUUGUGUAAAGAGGAGGAAAGGAACUUCACACUUGAAAGAAAUGAAUGGACUAUGAAAAAGGGUGUGGAUAAAGAACGAGGAGAGCACAGAUCCAGGCAUUUCACAGUGCAGCGAGACUUAGAG
rnacentral:lncRNA from 1 species